rnacentral:rRNA from 1 species
GUCUUAGUCAUGCAAGUCGAACGAGAAAGUCACCUUCGGGUGGCGAGUAAAGUGGCAAACGGGUGAGUAACACGUGGGCAAUUUGCCCUCGGGUUGGGGAUAACAUUUCUAACGAAGUGCUAAUACCGAAUGACAAGGCGAGUUUAUGACUCGUUUUUAAAGGUGGCCUCUACUUGUAAGCUGCCGCCUGGGGAUGAGCCCGCGUCGUAUUAGCUUGUUGGUGGGGUAACGGCCUACCAAGGCGACGAUGCGCAGCCGGCCUGAGAGGGUGAACGGCCACACUGGAACUGAGACAAGGUCCAGUCUCCUACGGGAGCCAGCAGUCUAGAAAUUUGCACAAUCGCCGAAAGGCGGAUGCAGCGACACCACGUGGAGGAUGAAGCCGUUCGCGGUGUAAACUCCUGUCAGGAGGGAAGAAGGUGCGGAUGUUAAUACCACCCGCUACUUGACGGUACCUCCAGAGGAAGCUCCGGCUAACUACGUGCCAGCAGCCGCGGUAAUACGUAGGGAGCGAGCGUUGUUCGGAUUUACUGGGCGUAAAGAGCACGUAGGCGGGUAUGCAAGUCGGUUGUGAAAUCCUCUGGCUCAACCAGAGAACUGCAAUCGAAACUGCAUACCUUGAGUCCAACAGAGGGAAUCGGAAUCCAAGGUGUAGCGGUGAAAUGCGUAGAUAUCUUGGAGAACAUCAGUGGCGAAGGCGGAUUCCUGGGUUGGUACUGACGCUGAGGUGCGAAAGCUAAGGUAGCGAACAGGAUUAGAUACCCUGGUAGUCUUAGCCGUAAACGAUGGGUACUAGGUGUUGGGGGACAUUGACCCCCUCAGUGCCGUAGCUAACGCAUUAAGUACCCCGCCUGGGGAGUACGGCCGCAAGCUAAAACUCUAA